UUAUCGGUGGAUUCACUCGG
rnacentral:rRNA from 3 species